rnacentral:rRNA from 1 species
CCCUUAGAUGUUCUGGGCUGCACGCGUGCUACACUGAUUAUUUCAACAAGUGUUUUAACUGGAGAGUUCGCGUAAUCCUGAAAUGUUAUCGUGAUGGGAGUAGAGUAUUGUAUUUGUUAAUCUUUAACGAGGAAUUCCUAGCAAGUGUAGGUUUAUAAGUUGUUCUGAUUACGUCCCUGCCCUUUGUACACACCGCCCGUCGCUCCUACCGAUUGAUUGAUCCGGUGAAUUACAUAGAAUUUUGCGUUUUACAUGACGGAAGAUGAAGUGUUUUAAACCUUAUCAUUUAGAGGAAGGAGAAGUCGUAACA